rnacentral:rRNA from 1 species
CGGCAGGCUUAACACAUGCAAGUCGAACGAAGUCUUCGGACUUAGUGGCAGACGGGUGAGUAACGCGUGGGAACCUACCCUUUGGUACGGAACAACAGUUGGAAACGACUGCUAAUACCGUAUGAGCCCUACGGGGGAAAGAUUUAUCGCCAAAGGAUGGGCCCGCGUUGGAUUAGCUAGUUGGUGGGGUAAAAGCCUACCAAGGCGACGAUCCAUAGCUGGUCUGAGAGGAUGAUCAGCCACACUGGGACUGAGACACGGCCCAGACUCCUACGGGAGGCAGCAGUGGGGAAUAUUGGACAAUGGGGGCAACCCUGAUCCAGCCAUGCCGCGUGAGUGAUGAAGGCCCUAGGGUUGUAAAGCUCUUUCAGCGAGGAGGAUAAUGACGUUCUCGCAGAAGAAGCCCCGGCUACUUCGUGCCAGCAGCCCGCGG